GAGUUUGAUCGUGGCUCAGGAUGAACGCUAGCGGCAGGCUUAAUACAUGCAAGUCGAGGGGCAGCACGAAUAGCAAUAUUUGGUGGCGACCGGCAAACGGGUGCGGAACACGUACGCAACCUUCCCAUAACUGGUGAAUAGCCUUCCGAAAGGGAGAUUAAUACACCGUAACAUAAAGAGUAGGCAUCUAUUUUUUAUUAUAGCUUCGGCGGUUUUGGAUGGGCGUGCGCCUGAUUAGGUAGUUGGCGGGGUAAUGGCCCACCAAGCCUUCGAUCAGUAACUGGUGUGAGAGCACGACCAGUCACACGGGCACUGAGACACGGGCCCGACUCCUACGGGAGGCAGCAGUAAGGAAUAUUGGUCAAUGGACGCAAGUCUGAACCAGCCAUGCCGCGUGAAGGAUGAAGGCCCUCUGGGUUGUAACUUCUUUUAUCUGGGACGAAAAAAGGGGAUCUUCCUCACUUGACGGUACCAGAGGAAUAAGCACCGGCUAACUCCGUGCCAGCCGCCGC
rnacentral:rRNA from 1 species